rnacentral:rRNA from 1 species
UAAUUCCAGCUCUGCAAAUACAUAGAAUUAUUGCUGCGGUUAGAAAGCUCAUAGUUGGAUUCGUAUCGAUACCUUGGAACCCUUCGGGUGUCUCUAGGUGUUAUCGAUUUAUCGUAAUGUUCGGUUUUGAGUCCUUAACAGGAUUCUUAACAGGCAUUGCAAGUUUACUUUGAACAAAUCAGAGUGCUUCAAACAGGCGUUUUCGCUUGAAUGAUCGUGCAUGGAAUAAUAGAAAAUGAUUUCGGUUCAGUUUUAUUGGUUUUACGGACUGAGAUAAUGGUUAACAGAGACAAACGGGGGCAUUUGUAUGGUCCCGUGAGAGGUGAAAUUCUUGGACCGUGGCCAGACAAACUACAGCGAAAGCAUUUGCCAAGAAUGUUUUUAUUAAUCAAGAACGAAAGUCAGAGGUUCGAAGGCGAUCAGAUACCGCCCUAGUUCUGACCGUAAACGAUGCCAACUAGCGAUCCGCCGAUGGAAAUUAUAUUGCCUUGGUGGGGAGCUUCCCGGAAACGAAAGUCUUCCGGUUCCGGGGGAAGUAUGGUUGCAAAGCUGAAACUUAAAGGAAUUGACGGAAGGGCACCACCAGGAGUGGAGCCUGCGGCU